rnacentral:rRNA from 1 species
UACGUAGGGUGCGAGCGUUGUCCGGAAUUAUUGGGCGUAAAGGGCUCGUAGGCGGUCUGUCGCGUCGGGUGUGAAAACUCAGGGCUUAACCCUGAGCCUGCUUCCGAUACGGGCAGACUAGAGGUAUGCAGGGGAGAACGGAAUUCCUGGUGUAGCGGUGAAAUGCGCAGAUAUCAGGAGGAACACCGGUGGCGAAGGCGGUUCUCUGGGCAUGACCUGACGCUGAGGAGCGAAAGUGUGGGGAGCGAACAGG